rnacentral:rRNA from 1 species
AAAGCCUGACGGAGCAAGACCGCGUGAGGGAGGAAGGCCCUUGGGUUGUAAACCUCUUUUCUCAGGGAAGAAAACUGACGGUACCUGAGGAAUCAGCCUCGGCUAACUCCGUGCCAGCAGCCGCGGUAAUACGGAGGAGGCAAGCGUUAUCCGGAAUUAUUGGGCGUAAAGCGUCCGCAGGUGGCGAAUCAAGUCUGCUGUCAAAGGUCGGGGCUUAACUCCGGAAAGGCAGUGGAAACUGAAUCGCUAGAGUGCGGUAGGGGUAGAGGGAAUUCCCGGGGUAGCGGUGAAAUGCGUAGAGAUCGGGAAGAACAUCGGUGGCGAAAGCGCUCUACUGGGCCGCAACUGACACUCAGGGACGAAAGCUAGGGGAGCGAAUGGGAUUAGAUACCCCAGUAGUC